UGACAAAAUAUUUUUAUAAUAAUAAGCUUAUUUUUGUAAAAAUAUCAAGAUACUUUUACAAUAAUAAGUUUAUUCUUAUAUCUUGUUAGUGUCUUUCUAAUAUACAGUAAUAUAAUUUUAAAAUACAGUAAUAUUAUUUGUUUUUAAUUUUUUUUUCAUACCUUUUUCUUGUUAGUAAAGUUGUUAUACGUAAAGCAGAACUGAUUUAAUAACUUAUUUUUAUUGACUGUUGACAAUUUCAAGAUCUUUUUUUUUUUGAUUAUACAAUUUUUUUGUUAUCAUUAUUCUAAUAUGCACAGACUACAGCUGGUAAGUUAUUAUAGCAUAACUUUUAUUAACCAUUAAAGAAAUAUAAAUAAAUAUAUGUAUUUCCUACUUAUUUAAUUAUUACUUGUUGUGUAUGGAUUUCCCAUUUGCUGCAAUUUUUUAAUUUUAGUAUCUAUCUUUUGUGUUACACUUGGUAAGUUAAACAACUUUUUAAUGUGAAAUUAAAAAGUUGUUUAACUUUAUUUCCUUUACAAUAUGUUUAACUUUAUUUCCUUAGUCAUGUGCUGCAACUAGUAAUUUAAAAAACUAUUACAUUUUAUGUGUAUGCAUUUCUCGUUAUUUAAAAUAUUGAUUUUUUGUUACAACAUUGUAGUUUUAGUAUCUACCUUUUGUGCUACACCUAAACAACUCUUUUUAAUGUGCACAAAUUUCUCAUUGAUUGCAAUAUUGAUUUUUAUAAUAUAUUUUUUACCUUUAGUUCUUUAUACGUGUGGCUACGCCUGUUCCAUCUGUACCACCUUUAAACGGUUGGUGGGUUAAAUAUGAUCAUUUAAAUGAGAAAAUGUAUACUAGUGCAACUUGUAAUCUGGGUGUUAUAACAUUACAACCACAUCUAUGGUCAACUCUAAGAUCACCUUAUUUUGUUUGGCAGUGUUUUGGAAUCAAGUUAUGGCAAUAUUUUGUGUAUAAAAUAUAACAAUUACAUUUAAAAAGUGCUUAUUUCUGACAAAAA